GACGAACGCUGGCGGCGUGCUUAACACAUGCAAGUCGAACGGAAAGGCCCUGCUUGCAGGGUGCUCGAGUGGCGAACGGGUGAGUAACACGUGGGUGAUCUGCCCCUUACUUUGGGAUAAGCCUGGGAAACUGGGUCUAAUACUGGAUAGGACCAUGCUGUAGGUGGUGUGGUGGAAAGAUUAGUUUCGGUAAGGGAUGAGCUCGCGGCCUAUCAGCUUGUUGGUGGGGUAAUGGCCUACCAAGGCGUCGACGGGUAGCCGGCCUGAGAGGGUGGACGGCCACAUUGUGACUGUGAGACGGCCCAGACUCCUACGGGGGGCAGCAGUGGGGAAUAUUGCACAAUGGGCGCAAGACUGAUGCAGCGACGCCGCGUGGGGGAUGACGGCCUUCGGGUUGUAAACUCCUUUCAGCCAUGACGAAGCCUUCGGGUGACGGUAGUGGUAGAAGAAGCACCGGCUAACUACGUG
rnacentral:rRNA from 1 species